GGAGUGAAAAUGACGUAGAAUACACAAAAUAUUGUAGAGAAAUCAGUGAUUGCUGAGACGGAAUCUGGAAAUAUCAUAGAAAAUGCGAAAAUUGUUCC